UUAAAGAAAUCAUCGUCAAGUCGGAGGAAGAGAUGGAUGAUCAUCGCAGACUGCUGGAUUUCUCCCGGAGGCCCCAGAUAAUCUUACACCGAAUAGGUUUCAUAAAGACCAUGUGAGGAAGAAGUGGGGAAUGUCUUUAAGGAGAGACGGAUUCACUGCACUGAUGAAUCUCAGCUGCUGAAUCUCUCUUAAGCUCCUCCUCGGCUGGAAAACAUGAAUAAAACCUAUAUAGAUAUUAUGUAUAUACGCAUGUCCAUAUAAUUAUGUGUAGUUUAGUGCAUAUUAUUCAGCAUUUAUAAUUAUUAAGCAUCUUUAUUUCUCUCUGAUUGUAUUAUUUUGUGUUUGUAUAUUUAUAUAAAUAUGUAUUGAUAUCACUAAAUAACAUAUUUCAAAAA